rnacentral:SRP_RNA from 1 species
UCGUGCUAGGUGGGGAAGUAGCGGCGCCCUGUCGCUCGCAGUUCCGCUCUAGCGAGGCCGAAUCCCCGGUUGAGGGGUCCUGCCUCGGGGUCAGCGCGCCGAAGGCGGUGUCGAUGGCCCGGGUCCCGUGCAACGCCGGCCCGUGAACCAGGUCAGGUCCGGAAGGAAGCAGCCUUAAGCGGUCUUCGGCGUGUGCAGCGGGGUGGCCCGGACCGGAGCCGUCGCUCGGCGAGAGCGUCACCGAGGGAGGACGACGAGGCUGGGUGCACGA